GCUCCUCGUGCGGCGCUAGGCCCCCGUCCCGGUCAUGGCCAUGCUGAGGGUCCAGCCCGAGGCCCAAGCCAAGGUCAGGCCCUACAUAACCCUAAGGGAACUGUCCUCAAAUGAACUGGCCUUAAAGCCAAGUUUCUGAAGGGAUGCGUGUGCCCCACAGGUGGAUGUGUUUCGUGAAGACCUCUGUACCAAGACAGAGAACCUGCUCGGGAGCUAUUUCCCUAAGAAGAUUUCUGAGCUGGAUGCAUUUUUAAAGGAGCCAGCUCUCAAUGAAGCCAACUUGAGUAAUCUGAAGGCCCCGUUGGACAUCCCAGUGCCUGAUCCAGUCAAGGAGAAAGAGAAAGAGGAGCGGAAGAAACAGCAGGAGAAGGAAGACAAGGAUGAAAAGAAGAAGGGGGAGGAUGAAGACAAAGGUCCUCCCUGUGGCCCAGUGAACUGCAAUGAAAAGAUCGUGGUCCUUCUGCAGCGCUUGAAG
rnacentral:sRNA from 1 species